rnacentral:sRNA from 1 species
GGUACGGCUAGGGUAGCUCCCGAAAAGCUGGUCCGCACCAGCCUGCCGUACCGUCACCUUGCGGA